rnacentral:tRNA from 1 species
GGCGGUUAGCUCAGCUGGGAUAGCACCUGCUCUACAAGCAGGGGGUCGCUGGUUCGAGCCCGGCACCUUGCCG